rnacentral:piRNA from 1 species
UCCCUGUUCCGAAUUCUUUGA